CAGACCUCUAAUCGGAAAAGACUACCCGCUGAGUUUAAGCAUAUCACUAAGCGGAGGAGAAGAAACUAACCAGGAUUUCCCUAGUAACGGCGAGCGAACCGGAAAGAGCCCAGCUUGAAAAUCGUGGCGCCUCGCGCCUCGAGUUGUAGUCUGGAGAANGUCCCUCUGCGGCGCGCCGGACCAAGUUCCCUGGAAAGGGACGUCAUCGAGGGUGACAACCCCGUCCGCGCCCGGAACGCGUCGCUCCACGAGGAC
rnacentral:rRNA from 1 species